UUCUUUUUAGAUUGCACAGGAAUAGAAGCCCAUUUUAUUCUUCUAGGGCCCUGCAGAUACGUUAGCCCAAACAGUGUCCUUUUGAAAUUGGAAGAGCCCUCCUUAUCUUCAAAUUCCUGUUUCUUCCUCUUCCUGUUCCAUUCCUACCAAACUGACCAAAAUAUAUCAUACCACAACUGGUGUAUGACUCAUAAUGUUCUCUUUGUGUUUAGAAGGUUUGUUGUUGUUGUUUAGUCAUGUCCGACUCUUUGUGACCCCAUGGACCAGAACACGCCGGGCCCUCCUGUCUUCCACUGCCUCCCGGAGUUGGGUCAAAUUCAUGUUGGUCGCUUCGAUGACACUGUCCAACCAUCUCAUCCUCUGUCGUCCCCUUCUCUUGCCUUCACACUUUCCCAACAUCAGGGUCUUUUCCAGGGAGUCUUCUCCCUUGGUGUUAUUACACAACUUCAUACGAUUUAGAAACCCCUCAUUUGUGUCCCACUCCUCUGGUACCCCUUCAUUAGAUGUGGGAAACAUACUGAUGUUGGAUGUACUGUUUUCCCCCAUAAUGAGACCAACAAUUUGCUAUGUUUAGAUCCAACAUCCACAUCCCUUCCAGCAUCUCUGUUGGGUAAGCUGCCACCUAUUGAUAGAAGGUCAUGCAAAAAGCUGGACUGGACUGGAGGAAUCCCAAGCCGGAAUUAAGAAUGCCGGAAGAAAUAUCAACAGCCUCCGAUAUGCAGAUGAUACCACUCUGAUCGCAGAAAGUGAGGAGGAAUUAAGGAACCUUGUAAAUGAGGGUGGAAGAGGAGAGUGCAAAAAAUGGUCUGAAGCUCAAAACCACGACAGAGGGAGAUAACGUUUCCGGAUGAACCAUUUUCCUGCCUUCCCCUUGCCCAAGAAACAUUUGCCGUUGUCAAAACAAAUGGCAGAGGGAGCUGGGAAGAUGGAGCUUCAUCUACUGAGCAUGCUGAUGCAACUAUUCAUCUUGAGGACCGGGCAAGCUCUCAUGACAAAGAUUGUUUGUGCAUCUGGAGAACAAACCUCACUUCCCUGCGAAGUCUCAAGCUCCCAUACACGUUGGUUCUGGUUCCCCUUGAAUCCCACAUGUGCUAACAUAAGUGGGAAUUGGGUGGAGAUAGCCCAGAAUCAUACCACACAUGAAGUGACUCCUCUUCGGUUCAACCAGCGCCUGACAUUCUACAAUCAAAAAUCAUUGCUUCUCAGGAAUCUGGUCAUGAGCGAUGCUGGUAUCUAUCUGUGCCGCCUCCCCAAUGGCUCAGAAACUCACACUGAACUGCAGGUGGACCCAGGCUGCCACAACAACCUGCUUGUCUCCUAUGAGUGGCUUCAUCCUUCUUUGUUGAAACUCAGUUGCCAUCACUGCAUUUUCCAGAGGAGGACAGACUCUUUCCGCUGGGUGGUGAAUUCAAAGCCACUGGGGAACCGACGCUGGGCUAAGAAGAGCAACCAUGGGUCUACCGUCAUGCUACAUCCCUUCCGGCAAACCGUUUGGGGCCGCUGGGAGUGUCAUUCCCUCGAUUACACUUCCUGGGUCUCUGAAAUUUGUUUGGUUGCGCCCAUCAGAUACAUGGAAGCAGAUUUCGGUUCUGCAGACACAACAUCGUGGGCCUCCUUCCUUUCGUCAAGUUCUCCCCUUGCUAGGACCACAGAUGUUACACCCACUGGGCAUGCUCUGAAGAGGAUAGCUGUCUGGAUUUGGACCUUGCUGUUGGUGGGGCUGGUUUUGCUCCUGGCUGCUCUCGGAAUGGCUGUGUGGUUGAAGAGGAAACACCAAGAAAGAAAGAAAUGGACAGAUCCAACCAGACAGAAGGAAAUAAUGAAAAAGGAGAAUCUGGAUGAGGUAAGUAUCACCUGGGCAUCCCUCAGGUGGGUCGUGUCUGGCAUAACGCUGGGCUUCUUAACUCCCUGUUCAGAUCUUCUCUCCUUGUGGUUCCUCCUUCCAGAGACCUGCUUCCCUUUAUUAUGCUCAACUACAACAUCCCCGAAGGAAAUCCACCAGCAUUCGAACCGCAGACAGCUCCACGGUGUAUGCAGUCAUCGUCUGACACCAUUUCCAUCAUUUUUCACUCAUGCCUUAAGAGGGAGAGGGAGAGAGAGAGAUACACACACUAUUUCAUGACCUACAAACACUGCUCUGUAAAGUACUAGAAGAUUAUAGUAGACUUUCUACAUAUUUCCAUCUCUAAAUGUUUGGCUCAAACGAGAUGUUAGCGGAAUGCUGAUUCUGUUUGAUUACCCCUUUUCCUCUCCCACAAUAGCAUCUCAACACAGACAAUGAGACUUGCAAAAUAAACUUGUUUGUACUUUCCA
rnacentral:lncRNA from 1 species